rnacentral:rRNA from 1 species
GCGGCCUAUCAGCUUGUUGGUGAGGUAAUGGCUCACCAAGGCGACGACGGGUAGCCGGCCUGAGAGGGCGACCGGCCACACUGGGACUGAGACACGGCCCAGACUCCUACGGGAGGCAGCAGUGGGGAAUAUUGGGCAAUGGAGGGAACUCUGACCCAGCGACGCCGCGUGCGGGAUGAAGGCCUUCGGGUUGUAAACCGCUUUCAGCAAGGAAGAAGCGAAAGUGACGGUACUUGCAGAAGAAGUACCGGCUAACUAUGUGCCAGCAGCCGCGGUAAUACAUAGGGUGCAAGCGUUGUCCGGAAUUAUUGGGCGUAAAGAGCUCGUAGGUGGUUCGUCACGUCGGAUGUGAAAAUCUGGGGCUUAACCCCAGACCUGCAUUCGAUACGGGCGAGCUAGAGUGUGGUAGGGGAGACUGGAAUUCCU